UACGUAGGGUGCAAGCGUUGUCCGGAAUUAUUGGGCGUAAAGAGCUCGUAGGCGGUUUGUCGCGUCUGCUGUGAAAACCCGAGGCUCAACCUCGGGCCUGCAGUGGGUACGGGCAGACUAGAGUGCGGUAGGGGAGAUUGGAAUUCCUGGUGUAGCGGUGGAAUGCGCAGAUAUCAGGAGGAACACCAGGUGGCGAAGGCG
rnacentral:rRNA from 1 species